UACGGGGGGGGCAAGCGUUGUUCGGAAUUACUGGGCGUAAAGGGCGCGUAGGCGGCCCUCUAAGUCAGACGUGAAAUCCCACGGCUCAACCGUGGAACUGCGUCCGAUACUGGUUGGCUUGAAUCCGGGAGAGGGACGUGGAAUUCCAGGUGUAGCGGUGAAAUGCGUAGAUAUCUGGAGGAACACCGGUGGCGAAGGCGGGUCUCUGGGCCGAAAUUGACGCUGAGGAGCGAAAGCGUGGGGAGCAAACAGG
rnacentral:rRNA from 1 species